UCAAGUUACAAAGGGCGCAGGGCGGAUGCCUUGGCACCAGGAGCCGAAGAAGGACGUGAUAAGCUGCGAAAAGCUGCGGGGAGGAGCAAAUAUCCAUUGAUCCGCAGGUAUCCGAAUGGGGAAACCCGGCAGAAAGAACUUCUGUCACCGUAUGAUGAAUCCAUAGUCAUACGGAGGGAACCCGGCGAACUGAAACAUCUAAGUAGCCGGAGGAAGAGGAAGAAACAUCGAAUCCCUAAGUAGUGGCGAGCGAAAGGGGACGAAGCCCAAACCAAGGAUUUAUCCUUGGGGUUGAGGACCACAUACGAAGAAGCAGUAGGUAGCAGAACGGUUUUGGGAAAGCCGGCUGGAGAGAGUGAAAGCCUCGUAUGCGAAACAGACUGUGAUUCAGUGGUAUCCGGAGUACUACGGGACACGAGAAACCCCGUAGGAAGCAGGGGGGACCACCCCCCAAGGCGAAAUACUACCUGGUGACCGAUAGAGUAUAGUACCGUGAGGGAAAGGUGAAAAGAACCCCGGGAGGGGAGUGAAAGAGAACCUGAAACCCUGUGUCUACAAGCUGCGGAAGAGCGACUAACGCUCGACCGUGUACUUUUUGUAGAACGGUCCGGCGAGUUGCCGUUGCUGGCAGGUUAAGUACUUAAGGUACGGAGCCGAAGGGAAACCAAGUCUUAAUAGGGCGGUAAGUCAGUAACGGCAGACCCGAAACCGGGUGACCUACCCAUGGCCAGGAUGAAGUCUGCGUAAAAGUGGAUGGAGGUCCGAACACACGUCUGUUGAAAAAGGCGGUGAUGAGCUGUGGGUAGCGGAGAAAUUCCAAUCGAACUCGGAGAUAGCUGGUUCUCCCCGAAAUAGCUUUAGGGCUAGCCUCGGUAUAGUCUAAUGGAGGUAGAGCACUGAAUCGCUGCGGGGGCGUCAAAGUCUACCAAUGCGUAUCAAACUCCGAAUGCCAUAUAGAUGUUUACCGGGAGUCAGACUGUAUGAGAUAAGUCGGACAGUCAAAAGGGAAACAGCCCAGACCAUCUGCUAAGGUCCCAAAGUGUAUGUUAAGUGGUAAAGGAUGUGGGGUUUCGAAGACAACUAGGAUGUUGGCUCAGAAGCAGCCAUUCAUUCAAAGAGUGCGUAAUAGCUCACUAGUCGAGAGGUCCUGCGCCGAAAAUGUCCGGGGCUGAAACAUAACACCGAAGCAAUGGAAUAUACCGUAAGGUAUGUUGGUAGGGGAGCAUUGAUAACACGAAGAAGCGGUACCGUAAGGAGCCGUGGAGAGUUAUCAAGAGAGAAUGCCGGAAUGAGUAGCGAGAUGAAGGUGAGAAUCCUUCAGGCCGUAUAUCCAAGGUUUCCAGGGUAAAGCUGAUCUUCCCUGGGGAAGUCGGGACCUAAGCUCAGGCUGAGAAGCGUAGGCGAUGGACAACUGGUUGAUAUUCCAGUACCUCUGGCUAUCAGAAAUGUGGGGACACGGAGAUUCAGGGAGUGCCUGUAAAGGAUUCAGGUGCAAGCAUGGUUUAUGCCGGGCAGGCAAAUCCGUCCGGGUAAGUGAACUGUGUGAUGCGGACCGAAAUAUAAGUAGGGAAGCUCCUGGGAGAGCCGUCGAGAAAAGCCGCUAUUGUGUAGUCAGAGCCCGUACCGUAAACCGACACAGGUGGAUGGGGAGAGUAUCCCAAGGCCGGCGGGAGAAGCAUUGUUAAGGAACUCGGCAAAAUGGCCCCGUAAGUUCGCGAUAAGGGGUGCCUGUAGAGAUACAGGCCGCAGAGAAUAGGCUCAAGCAACUGUUUAGCAAAAACACAGGUCUAUGCGAAACCGUAAGGUGAUGUAUAUGGGCUGACGCCUGCCCGGUGCUGGAAGGUUACGGGGAGUGCUUAGGAGCAAUCCGAAGGUACGAACUUAAGCCCCAGUAAACGGCGGCCGUAACUAUAACGGUCCUAAGGUAGCGAAAUUCCUUGUCGGGUAAGUUCCGACCCGCACGAAAGGCGUAAUGAUUUGAGCGCUGUCUCAACAAUGCACCCGGUGAAAUUGAAGUACCAGUGAAGAUGCUGGUUACCUGCGCCAAGACGGAAAGACCCCAUGGAGCUUUACUCCAUCUUGGUACUGGGAUUAGAUAUAUGAUGUACAGGAUAGGUGGGAGACUAAGAAGCAGGGACGCCAGUUUCUGCGGAGUCAAUGUUGGGAUACCACCCUUCGUGUAUCUGGUUUCUAACCUUUGCCCGUUAUCCGGGCAGGGGACAAUGCCAGGAGGGGAGUUUGACUGGGGCGGUCGCCUCCGAAAGUGUAUCGGAGGCGCUCAAAGG
rnacentral:rRNA from 1 species